rnacentral:rRNA from 1 species
GGCAAGUCUGGUGCCAGCAGCCGCGGUAAUUCCAGCUCCAAUAGCGUAUAUUAAAGUUGUUGCAGUUAAAAAGCUCGUAGUUGAAUUUCGGGGUUAGUAGGCUGGUCAUGCCACCGGUAUGUACUGGUCUUACUGAUUCCUCCUUCCUGAUGAACUGUAAUGCCAUUAAUUUGGUGUUGCAGGGAAUCUGGACUGUUACUUUGAAAAAAUUAGAGUGUUUAAAGCAGGC